GACGAACGCUGGCGGCGUGCCUAACACAUGCAAGUCGAACGGAAAGGCCCUGCUUUUGUGGGGUGCUCGAGUGGCGAACGGGUGAGUAACACGUGAGUAACCUGCCCUUGACUUUGGGAUAACUUCAGGAAACUGGGGCUAAUACCGGAUAGGAGCUCCUGCUGCAUGGUGGGGGUUGGAAAGUUUCGGCGGUUGGGGAUGGACUCGCGGCUUAUCAGCUUGUUGGUGGGGUAGUGGCUUACCAAGGCUUUGACGGGUAGCCGGCCUGAGAGGGUGACCGGCCACAUUGGGACUGAGAUACGGCCCAGACUCCUACGGGAGGCAGCAGUGGGGAAUAUUGCACAAUGGGCGGAAGCCUGAUGCAGCAACGCCGCGUGCGGGAUGACGGCCUUCGGGUUGUAAACCGCUUUCGCCUGUGACGAAGCGUGAGUGACGGUAAUGGGUAAAGAAGCACCGGCUAACUACGUGCCAGCAGCCGCGGUGAUACGUAGGGUGCGAGCGUUGUCCGGAUUUAUUGGGCGUAAAGGGCUCGUAGGUGGUUGAUCGCGUCGGAAGUGUAAUCUUGGGGCUUAACCCUGAGCGUGCUUUCGAUACGGGUUGACUUGAGGAAUUUAGGGGAGAAUGGAAUUCCUGGUGGAGCGGUGGAAUGCGCAGAUAUCAGGAGGAACACCAGUGGCGAAGGCGGUUCUCUGGGCCUUUCCUGACGCUGAGGAGCGAAAGCGUGGGGAGCGAACAGGCUUAGAUACCCUGGUAGUCCACGCUGUAAACGGUGGGUACUAGGUGUGGGGUCCAUUCCACGGGUUCCGUGCCGUAGCUAACGCUUUAAGUACCCCGCCUGGGGAGUACGGCCGCAAGGCUAAAACUCAAAGGAAUUGACGGGGCCCCGCACAAGCGGCGGAGCAUGCGGAUUAAUUCGAUGCAACGCGUAGAACCUUACCUGGGUUUGACAUGGCUCGGGAGUGCUCAGAGAUGGGUGUGCCUCUUUUGGGGUCGGUUCACAGGUGGUGCAUGGCUGUCGUCAGCUCGUGUCGUGAGAUGUUGGGUUAAGUCCCGCAACGAGCGCAACCCUUGUUCACUGUUGCCAGCACGUUAUGGUGGGGACUCAGUGGAGACCGCCGGGGUCAACUCGGAGGAAGGUGGGGAUGACGUCAAGUCAUCAUGCCCCUUAUGUCCAGGGCUUCACGCAUGCUACAAUGGCUGGUACAGAGAGUGGCGAGCCUGUGAGGGUGAGCGAAUCUCGGAAAGCCGGUCUCAGUUCGGAUUGGGGUCUGCAACUCGACCUCAUGAAGUCGGAGUCGCUAGUAAUCGCAGAUCAGCAACGCUGCGGUGAAUACGUUCCCGGGGCU
rnacentral:rRNA from 1 species